rnacentral:rRNA from 1 species
UUUUGGACAAUGGGCGCAAGCCUGAUCCAGCCAUGCCGCGUGAGUGAUGAAGGCCUUAGGGUUGUAAAGCUCUUUUGCCGGGGACGAUAAUGACGGUACCCGGAGAAUAAGUCCCGGCUAACUUCGUGCCAGCAGCCGCGGUAAUACGAAGGGGACUAGCGUUGUUCGGAAUCACUGGGGGUAAAGCGCACGUAGGCGGAUUUGUAAGUCAGGGGUGAAAUCCCGGGGCUCAACCUCGGAACUGCCUUUGAUACUGCGAAUCUUGAGUCCGAUAGAGGUGGGUGGAAUUCCUAGUGUAGAGGUGAAAUUCGUAGAUAUUAGGAAGAACACCGGUGGCGAAGGCGGCCCACUGGAUCGGUACUGACGCUGAGGUGCGAAAG